rnacentral:rRNA from 1 species
GAUGAACGCUGGCGGCGUGCCUAAUACAUGCAAGUCGAGCGAACAGACGAGGAGCUUGCUCGUCUGACGUUAGCCGCGGGCGGGUGAGUAACACGUGGAUAACCUACCUAUAAUACUGGGAUAACUUCGGGGAACCGGAUCUAAUACCGUAUAAGAUAUUGAACCGCAGGGUGCAAUGGAGAGAGACGGUGGUGCUGGCUGUUAUAGAGGGAUCCGGGCCGCAUGAGAUAGUUGGUAGGGUAACGGCUUACCAAGGGAACGAGGCGUAGCCGACGGGAGGGGGUGAUCGGCCACCCGGGAACUGAGCCACCGCCCUGACGCCUACGGGACGCCGCAGCCGGGAAUCUUCCGCAAUGGUCGAAAGCCUGACGGAGCAACGCCGAGUGAGUGAUGACGGUGCUCGGAUCGUAAAGCUCUGUUAUUAGGUAAGAACCAAUGUGUAAGGAACUAUGCAGGUCUUGACGGUACCUAGUCAGAAAGCCCCGGCUAACUACGUG